rnacentral:rRNA from 1 species
AUUGAACGCUGGCGGCAUGCCUUACACAUGCAAGUCGAACGGUAACGCGGGGCAACCUGGCGACGAGUGGCGAACGGGUGAGUAAUAUAUCGGAACGUGCCCAGUAGUGGGGGAUAGCCCGGCGAAAGCCGGAUUAAUACCGCAUGAGACCUGAGGGUGAAAGCGGGGGAUCGCAAGACCUCGCGCUAUUGGAGCGGCCGAUAUCAGAUUAGGUAGUUGGUGGGGUAAAGGCCUACCAAGCCGACGAUCUGUAGCUGGUCUGAGAGGACGACCAGCCACACUGGGACUGAGACACGGCCCAGACUCCUACGGGAGGCAGCAGUGGGGAAUUUUGGACAAUGGGGGGCAACCCUGAUCCAGCCAUUCCGCGUGAGUGAAGAAGGCUUUCGGGUUGUAAAGCUCUUUCUAGCAGGAACGAAACGGCGAGUACUAAUACUGCUCGCUAAUGACGGUACCUGAAGAAGAAGCACCGGCUAACUACGUGCCAGCAGCCGCGGUAAU